CAUAAGCGGAGGAAAAGAAACUAACAAGGAUUCCCCUAGUAACUGCGAGUGAAGCGGGAAAAGCUCAAAUUUGAAAUCUGGCGGUCCUUGGCCGUCCGAGUUGUAAUCUAGAGAAGUGUUACCCGCGCUGGACCGUGUACAAGUCUCCUGGAAUGGAGCGUCAUAGAGGGUGAGAAUCCCGUCUCUGACACGGACUCCCAGGGCUUUGUGGUAUGCUCUCAAAGAGUCGAGUUGUUUGGGAAUGCAGCUCAAAAUGGGUGGUAAAUUCCAUCUAAAGCUAAAUAUUGGCGAGAGACCGAUAGCGAACAAGUACCGUGAGGGAAAGAUGAAAAGAACUUUGGAAAGAGAGUUAAACAGUACGUGAAAUUGCUGAAAGGGAAACGCUUGAAGUCAGUCGCGUUGGCCAGGGAUCAGCCUCGCAUUUGCGUGGUGCACUUUCUGGUUGACGGGUCAGCAUCAAUUUUGGUCACUGGAAAAAGUCCUGAGGAAUGUGGCAGCUCCGGCUGUGUUAUAGCCUCUGGUCGCAUACAGUGGUUGGGAUUGAGGAACUCAGCACGCCGCAAGGCCGGGUUUCGACCACGUUCGUGCUUAGGAUGCUGGCAUAAUGGCUUUAAGCGACCCGUCUUGAAACACGGACCAAGGAGUCUAACAUGCCUGCGAGUGUUUGGGUGGAAAACCCGAGCGCGUAAUGAAAGUGAAAGUUGAGAUCCCUGUCGUGGGGAGCAUCGACGCCCGGACCAGAACUUUUGGGACGGAUCCGCGGUAGAGCAUGUAUGUUGGGACCCGAAAGAUGGUGAACUAUGCCUGAAUAGGGUGAAGCCAGAGGAAACUCUGGUGGAGGCUCGUAGCGAUUCUGACGUGCAAAUCGAUCGUCAAAUUUGGGUAUAGGGGCGAAAGACUAAUCGAACCAUCUAGUAGCUGGUCCUGC
rnacentral:rRNA from 1 species